CCCUCGCGUCGCACGGAGUCCGUUUUGCGUCUAUUUUACGCCAACGCGACUCGGACUUGUCCCGACACUCUCCAGAGCUGCCGACAAGCCUCCACAGCUGUACACCAGGGAUCUCACAGAUUUUUAAUAAUUUGAGAAUAAUUCAUGAAUUAUUCGGCUGGUCUAAAAAUUUGUGAAUAAUUUCGUUUCUUUGGAAAAAAAUUGUAAACGGACCGUUUAAUUCGGAUUUUCAAUAAUUCGUGAAUAAUUCGCAAAUUAACUAACAAAGGUUUGGAUCCGGAAAAAUGUUUUUGAAGAAAAAAAAAGUUUUAUAAAAAAUUAUUAUUAUCUACAGUUUUUAUUUUUUCAAAAUUAAAAAAUAAAAGUAUUAUUUUUUAUAAAAUUUUAAAAUAUUUUAUUUCAGAAAU
rnacentral:lncRNA from 1 species